rnacentral:rRNA from 1 species
CCUACGGGAGGCAGUAGUGAGGAAUAUUGGUCAAUGGCCGAGAGGCUGAACCAGCCAAGUCGCGUGAGGGAUGACGGCCCUACGGGUUGUAAACCUCUUUUGUCGGGGAGCAAAGAGAGUCACGUGUGGCUCAUUGCGAGUGCCCGAAGAAUAAGCAUCGGCUCACUCCGUGCCAGCAGCCGCGGUAAUACGGAGGAUGCGAGCGUUAUCCGGAUUUAUGGGGUGUAAGGGGUGCGCAGGCGGAGGUGCAAGUCAGUGGUCAAAUUGCGGGGCUCAACCCCGUACUGCCGUUGAAACUGCAGCCUUGGAGGGCGCGAGAAGUAUGCGGAAUGCUUGGGGGAGCGGGGAAAUGCAGAGAGAUCACGCAGAACGCCGAUUGCGAAGGGAGCAUACCGGCGCGCAACUGACGCGCAUGCACGAAAGCGUGGGUAUCGAACAGGAUUAGAUACCCUUGUAGUC